rnacentral:misc_RNA from 1 species
UCCGGUUUAUCACCGGCAGUGUCCUUAGAGUCCCCGCCAUUACGCGCUGGCAACUAAGGAUAAGGGUUGCGCUCGUUACGGGACUUAACCCAACAUUUCACAACACGAGCUGACGACAGCCAUGCAGCACCUGUCACAGAGUUCCCGAAGGCACACUCAGAAUUACCCGAGCUUCUCUGGAUGUCAAGGGUAGGUAAGGUUCUUCGCGUAGCAUCGAAUUAAACCACAUGCUCCACCGCUUGUGCGGGUCCCCGUCAAUUUCUUUGAGUUUUAGCCUUGCGGCCGUACUCCCCAGGCGGAGAACUUAUCGCGUUAGCUUCGACACUAAGCCCUCAUUGGGGCCCAACGUCUAGUUCUCAUCGUUUACGGCGUGGACUAC